CGGGUGUAUGCCAUCAGGAGUCUGAACUCCAGACUGUCCGCCCCAGACGUCUGGACGUCACCGUUACUGUGCUGCUGAUCCCUGGCCUUUACCUGGUAAUGCACUCUGUGACCAGUAGAGGGCACCUGAUGCAAAUCCUGCCAACAACAGACACAAAUUGUCUGACAGGAACAUCAUGGGAAGUGCUUACCUCCUGCAGUCUGUCAAUGUACAGUCGACAGGUUUCCAGGUCACAGUCUCCUCUCACCACCACGAUGCCAACAGGAGUAGCUGAACAAGCAAACACACAGAGAUGAUGCGGUUCACUCGCAGACGCAGGCGUUCAGGGACGGCAUGAGGGCUGCGAUACGCAGAUGACAACAAAUGAGAACUGACUGCACAUUUAUGAAAUAUUUAAUUAACAAAACGUAAUGCUCACAGGAACUGC